GAAAUAUUUGAUUCUAGUUAAUUCUUUAUUUUAUGGUUAAAAUCACAUGGAAAGUUAUUAUAUGAUAGGUAAAUUUUUAGCUAAUUAUAAAUUAGUGCUUAAAUAUAUAAUUAGUGUUAUUAAUAUUUAUAUACCCAGUGUAAAGAUUUAGUUAAUAUAUAGGAGUAUGAGCUAGUAAGCUAUAGUAAUAAGCCUGAUAAAUAUUUGUGCCAGCAUUCGCGGUUAUACUUUAAGGUUAAAUGAAGAGUAUUUAUAUUUAGUUAUUUAUAUUAAUAUUGUGAUUAUUUAUAGUUAUAUGUGGGUGAAAUUAUUUAAUAAUUUAUAAAUUCAAGAGAUAUGUUAAAGAAGCUGUUAAAUUUUAAGGAUAAACUAGGAUUAGAUACCCUAUUAUAUUAAAUUUUAAAUUGUAAGGAAUAUUAGUUAUUAGUAGAUAUAGUUUGAAACUUAAAGAAUUUGGCGGUAGUUUAGUCUUGUCAGAGGAACCUGUUUAAGAAGAUUGAUACACCCCGUAAUAUCUUACUUAUUAGUAUUAGUUUGUAUACCAUCAUUAUUAGAUAAUAUUUAAAAAAUAAAAUUAUUAAAAUUAAUUAAUUAAAAAAAUUAGAUCAAGGUGCAGCUUAUAAAUAAGUUUAAAUGGGUUACAAUAAGAUUUAUCUAAACGAAGUAAGUCAGUAAGUUUGAUUUAAGAAGGAGGAUUUGAUAGUAUUAGUGGUUUAAUAAGCCUUUAAGAUAGAAGCUCUAAAUUAUGUACAUAUCGCCCGUCGCUUUCAUUAAUUAAUGAGAUAAGUCGUAACAUAGUAGGGGUAUUGGAAGAUGUCCCUAGAAAUA
rnacentral:ncRNA from 1 species